AAAGUAUGAAGAGAAGAGAUGGGUUCCUAGGGAUGGUAAAGCAAAAUCACCUCCAAAGGUGAGUGAGGAGAAGGCUUCAUUUUUUAGACCAGGGCCAGAGAGUGCUGUGCCUGAGCAAAUGAAGAAUAUAAACCAUGCUUAUGAGGAGAGGAAAAGCAGUCCUCCCCCUAAAACAAUUGACAAUGGACCUGCUUCUAUAAGUUGCACUCCAGCUUCUGUUAAAGAGUCCCAAAAGGUCCCACUUGUUACAAAACCACAAGAACCUGUGCAGAAUUCAGAACAAGCUGCAGUUUCAAAAGCUCAUUUGGUAAAAAAGGAAGAGAAAAAAACACCAGUUGCAACACCAGCAAAAGUGGAUUAUGCAACUGAACUUUUUAACUUGCUUUGCAUGGAUGAUUCUGGUGGAAACUUCUCCAAGACUCCCAUCGAUGGUUUCAUAUCUGCUAAGGUAGAAUCAACAUCAGGGAGAAGUGAUUCAUCAAAUAUAUCUGAAUGCAAGAACCAGUUUGCAUCAUCUUUAAGGCAACCUCAGAAAGAUGCAAAUAAUGAUAUCAUGAAUCUCUUUGAUAAGUCCAGUAUGUUUUCUCCAUUUUCUGCCCAUCAACAGCAGCUUGCUAUGUUGUCCCAAGAACAUCAGGUCCUCAUGGCAGCUGCAGUGAAAUCUAGUGGUGGAUCUCAAACCUUUCCUGCCAAUAUGAAUAAAUUCAGCCCCAGUGAUAUCCAUUUAUCCAGUCAGAAUCCGAAUGGUAAUGGUAUCCAUUUAUCCAGUCAGAAUUGGAGAAGCGCCAGCCAUCAGGUUCUUGGAAUGAUGAUGCCAACCACUAAUCUACCAAAACAUAUUCAGAUUGGGAGCAACCAGCAAAUGUUUUCAGCAGGGAACUCGGUUAAUAUUGCAGCAUCAAGCAUGCAUAGUUCAGGGCAGGGAGCUCUGAUCAAUGGGACAACAAAUAUCAGAUCAUCAACAAUGCCUCCUCCAACAUUCCCAGCUAUGCCAACUCAACCUCAAGGAUACUAUGAUUUUUCCUCAUUAACACAAGGGAGAUUUACAAAACGGUGACAAGUUGCUUUAUCCCAUUAUAGGUACAGUUAAAUCACAAGAAAAUUUGGCUUCAUUCUUGCCUUCUGGGGUUACUGCUUCAUUUUAUUGAUUUGUAUUGAUACCCAUUAUUUGAUAUAAAAAAGUUGGUUCCACAAUAACCACAAGCAUGUUUUGUCUUCA
rnacentral:misc_RNA from 1 species